rnacentral:rRNA from 1 species
UACGUAGGGGGCGAGCGUUGUCCGGAAUCAUUGGGCGUAAAGAGCGUGUAGGCGGCUUGGCAAGUCUGACGUGAAAGCCCGCGGCUCAACCGCGGAUUGUCGUUGGAAACUGCCUCGCUAGAGUCCGGAAGAGGAGAGCGGAAUUCCUGGUGUAGCGGUGGAAUGCGCAGAUAUCAGGAGGAACACCGGUGGCGAAGGCGGCUCUCUGGACCACAACUGACGCUGAGGCGCGAAAGCUAGGGGAGCAAACAGG